AAGUCGUAACAAGGUUUCCGUAGGUGAACCUGCGGAAGGAUCAUUAAAGAGUUAGGGUCUACUGGCCCGAUCUCCAACCCUAUGUUUAAUUACCAUGUUGCUUUGGCGGGUCCGUCUCACGACCGUUGGGAGCUUUUUCGCUUCCGGCCCGCGCCCGUCAAUAGCCUCUUUUAACAUCUUGAUAAAUUAUGAUGUCUGAGUUACAAACUUAAAUAGUUAAAACUUUCAACAACGGAUCUCUUGGUUCUG
rnacentral:misc_RNA from 1 species